GGAAGGCAUUAAUCAGAGAGGCAGCACAGAGACCUAAGGUCCACAGGAGAGACUGGAGUAUCUGUACAUAGGACAACAAUAAGCCGUACGCUCCAUAGAGUUGGGCUUUAUGGCAGAGUGGCCAGAAGAAAGCCAUUACUUUCAGCAAAAAACAAAAUGGCAUGUUUUGAGCUUGCGAAAAGGCAUGUGGGAGACUUCCAAAAUGUAUGGAGGAAGGUGCUCUGGUCUGAUGAGACUAAAA